rnacentral:rRNA from 1 species
GAUGAACGCUGGCGGCGUGCCUAACACAUGCAAGUCGAGCGAUUUACUUCGGUAAAGAGCGGCGGACGGGUGAGUAACGCGUGGGUAACCUGCCCUGUACACACGGAUAACAUACCGAAAGGUAUGCCAAUACGAGAUAAUAUACUUUUAUCGCAUGGUAGAAGUAUCAAAGCUUUUGCGGUAUAGGAUGGACCCGCGUCUGAUUAGCUAGUUGGUAAGGUAACGGCUUACCAAGGCGACGAUCAGUAGCCGACCUGAGAGGGUGAUCGGCCACAUUGGAACUGAGACACGGUCCAAACUCCUACGGGAGGCAGCAGUGGGGAAUAUUGCACAAUGGGCGAAAGCCUGAUGCAGCAACGCCGCGUGAGCGAUGAAGGCCUUCGGGUCGUAAAGCUCUGUCCUCAAGGAAGAUAAUGACGGUACUUGAGGAGGAAGCCCCGGCUAACUACGUGCCAGCCGCCGCCGUAA